CGCCUGGCUGGGCCAAUGGUGCAACCAUUUAUCCGGAAUUACGGCAAGGCUGAGCGUUUUAUGUGGUGCCAAUCGAAACUCGCCAAAGUACCCAAAGCAAUUUUGGCGGACGGCAAAGAAAUGCCUCUGAUUGGACUUGGAACUUGGAUGAGCCCCAAAGGUCAGGUGACCGAAGCUGUGAAAGUGGCCAUUGAUGCUGGCUAUCGGCACAUUGACUGUGCUCACGUCUACCAAAACGAGGAUGAGGUCGGUGCUGGCAUCGAAGCUAAGGUCAAGGAGGGUGUUGUCAAGCGCGAGGACCUGUUCAUUACCAGCAAGCUGUGGAACACCUUCCACCGCCCGGACUUGGUCCGCGGCGCCUGUGAGGCCACAUUGGAAGCACUGAAAUUGAAAUACAUCGACUUGUACUUGAUCCACUGGCCAAUGGGCUACAAGGAGGGCUGCGAUCUCUUCCCAGCCGACAAGGAUGGCAAGACCUUGUUCUCGCCGGUCGACUAUGUGGAUACGUGGAAGGCCAUGGAGAAGCUGGUGGAGGAUGGCCUCGUCAAGUCGAUUGGCGUCUCCAAUUUCAACAAGAAUCAGCUGCAGCGCGUGCUGGAUGUGGCCAAGAUCCCACCGGCAACCAACCAAAUCGAGUGCCAUCCGUAUCUGACACAGAAGAAGCUCAUUGAUUUCUGCAAGUCGCGCAAUGUUACGGUGACUGCCUACAGUCCCCUGGGCUCGCCCAACCGUCCCUGGGCCAAGGCUGGCGAUCCGGUGAUCCUCGAGGAGCCUAAGAUUAAGGAAAUUGCCGCCAAGAAGAACAAGACACCUGGACAGAUUCUCAUCCGCUAUCAGGUGCAGCGCGCCAACAUUGUUAUUCCCAAGUCCGUGACCAAGGAGCGCAUUGAAUCGAACUUCCAAGUGUUUGAUUUCGUGUUGACACCCGAAGAGAUCGAAGUUAUUGAGAGCUUCGAUUGCAAUGGUCGUCUGGUGCCUUUGCUCAAUGAGGGCUGGUGGUCACAAGUACUAUCCAUUUCACGAUGAGUUUUAAGCGAAAUGAAACCGAACAUCAACAAAAAUAUUUACUAAGAAACCAAAUGCUUAAGCAAGAGUCACAACCAACUACAGUCAAGGGAAAAAUCUUUGUAAACAAAUAACUGGUGUAUGCCGUUUAUGGACAUCCCCACCAUCCCUUUGAGAAAGAUGAAUACUAAGCGGGCAGUAGGACAGCCCAGUGCUGCACAUUUACAAAUUUAAU